rnacentral:rRNA from 1 species
AGAGUUUGAUCCUGGCUCAGAACGAACGCUGGCGGCAGGCUUAGCACAUGCAAGUCGAGCGAACUGAUGGACUUCGGUCCUGAGGUUAGCGGCGGACGGGUGAGUAACGCGUGGGAACGUGCCCUUAGGUACGGAAUAACAGUUGGAAACGACUGCUAAUACCGUAUGACGUCUCUGGUUUCGGCCGGGGACCAAAGAUUUACCGCCUAGGGAUCGGCCCGCGUUGGAUUAGGUAGUUGGUGGGGUAAUGGCCUACCAAGCCGACGAUCCAUAGCUGGUUUGAGAGGAUGAUCAGCCACACUGGGACUGAGACACGGCCCAGACUCCUACGGGAGGCAGCAGUGGGGAAUCUUGGACAAUGGGGGCAACCCUGAUCCAGCCAUGCCGCGUGAACGAUGAAGGCCUUAGGGUUGUAAAGUUCUUUCAGCAGGGAAGAUAAUGACGGUACCUGCAGAAGAAGCCCCGGCUAACUCCGUGCCAGCAGCCGCGGUAAUACGGAGGGGGCUAGCGUUGUUCGGAAUUACUGGGCGUAAA